UGGGGAAUAUUGCACAAUGGGCGCAAGCCUGAUGCAGCCAUGCCGCGUGUAUGAAGAAGGCCAUCGGGUUGUAAAGUACUUUCAGCGGGGAGGAAGGGAGUAAAGUUAAUACCUUUACUCAUUGACGUUACCCGCAGAAGAAGCACCGGCUAACUCCGUGCCAGCAGCCGCGGUAAUACGGAGGGUGCAAGCAUUAAUCGGAAUUACUGGGCGUAAAGCGCACGCAGGCGGUUUGUUAAGUCAGAUGUGAAAUCCCCGGGCUCAACCUGGGAACUGCAUCUGAUACUGGCAAGCUUGAGUCUCGUAGAGGGGGGUAGAAUUCCAGGUGUAGCGGUGAAAUGCGUAGAGAUCUGGAGGAAUACCGGUGGCGAAGGCGGCCCCCUGGACGAAGACUGACGCUCAGGUGCGAAAGCGUGGGGAGCAAACAGG
rnacentral:rRNA from 1 species